rnacentral:rRNA from 1 species
AUUGAACGCUGGCGGCAGGCUUAACACAUGCAAGUCGAGCGGGGAAGGGUAGCUUGCUACCUAACCUAGCGGCGGACGGGUGAGUAAUGCUUAGGAAUCUGCCUAUUAGUGGGGGACAACAUCUCGAAAGGGAUGCUAAUACCGCAUACGUCCUACGGGAGAAAGCAGGGGACCUUCGGGCCUUGCGCUAAUAGAUGAGCCUAAGUCGGAGUAGCUAGUUGGUGGGGUAAAGGCGUACCAAGGCGACGAUCUGUAGCGGGUCUGAGAGGAUGAUCCGCCACACUGGGACUGAGACACGGCCCAGACUCCUACGGGAGGCAGCAGUGGGGAAUAUUGGACAAUGGGGGGAACCCUGAUCCAGCCAUGCCGCGUGUGUGAAGAAGGCCUUUUGGUUGUAAAGCACUUUAAGCGAGGAGGAGGCUACUGGUAUUAAUACUACCGGAUAGUGGACGUUACUCGCAGAAUAAGCACCGGCUAACUCUGUGCCAGCAGCCGCCGUAAAAC